rnacentral:rRNA from 1 species
GACGUAGGGCGCAAGCGUUGUCCGGAAUUAUUGGGCGUAAAGAGCUCGUAGGCGGCUUGUCGCGUCGACUGUGAAAUCCCGCGGCUCAACUGCGGGUCUGCAGUCGAUACGGGCAGGCUAGAGUUCGGUAGGGGAGACUGGAAUUCCUGGUGUAGCGGUGAAAUGCGCAGAUAUCAGGAGGAACACCGAUGGCGAAGGCAGGUCUCUGGGCCGAUACUGACGCUGAGGAGCGAAAGCGUGGGGAGCGAACAGG